GCGGUGUCGGCUGUCUGCUCCGAGUGCGGGGCCGCUGAGCCCAUGCCCACCCGGAACUCACGCUGACCCGCGAGCGCCGCACGCAGCGCGCCCGCACCUCUCCCUCCGCCCCUCACGGUAAGCAGAGGGAGCCGGCUCCAGCCUCGGCCUACCCAGAGAGGAGCUCCCACAAUGCCUUGGUGGGCUGAAGGGCUCCUCAAGCGCUGCCAGAGUGGAUGCCGAGGCCGAGGAGGCUCCGAGAGUGAGGGCUGCUAGCAUGCUGUCACCUCUCAUUCCCGUCUCCUAAUGCUUGCUUCUAUGAGAAUAUAUGUUACCAUCUCACAGAACACAGUGUGGAGAAUACUGGUAUAAAACAUCAUUCCUCAUCAUGUGUUAUCAGCGUAUUGGUAAGCAACAAAGAACUAGUUCUACCCUUUUACCUUGUAAACCCAGCCCUUGACAUCUUAUUUAUGUGCAAGGCAAGUGCAAAGCAGGUUUGGGGACAGGACAGUCUCUGGAGUAUAAGGACAAGUUAUUUGUUUUCUAUGCUGAAGGGGCCAUAAAAACAGUAACAUAUUUAAUGAGGCCUCACUGUAGCUAUUUUAGCCUCCAUAAAACAUCUUAUUCAGCCUAACCUACAAUUACUUAAUGGACAGCGUUUUACAAAUAGCUAGUCUCCAGCCUCAAAUGUUUAUUAAGUGUCUGUUCCUUUUGGAGCCACUUUACUAAGGAGAGUCAUGCAAGAUUAAAAAGACAGAAUAUUAAAAAUUCAGCCAAGACACACCAGGGCUACCCUGAUGAUAACAACUGUGGUGUAACGUUUUUGAAUUCAUAUGGAUUCCCAUGUUCUCAGUAAAAGAUACCCUACCAUUUCCCAACAUUCUUUCAUUAAAAAAAUUAUUUGGACCAUCAUGGGUAUUUGGCAUUUCUUUUUUGCAUAAGACAGAUCCUCUGUGAGUUGUAUUUUUCUAAGAAAUGUUGAGUUGUAAAAGAUAAAGGUGAAUGAAUAUUUAUUUAUUUUAUACAGCACUUUAAAGUUUGCAGAAAACUCCCCCCCGACUAUCAUUUUUGUACUUACAAAAAUCCCAUGAGAAUGGCAGUAUUACAAGCACCACAAAAGUGACCAGUGUCCCUCAUCCAGCAAUGUAAAACCAGAUACCUACACCAAGGUUUGCAGCAAUAAAAAGAAAGACUUUUAUGGCAGGGUGCCAAGCAAG
rnacentral:lncRNA from 1 species